rnacentral:rRNA from 1 species
GUCGAGAAUCAUUCACAAUGGACGAAAGUCUGAUGGUGCAACGCCGCGUGGAGGAUGAAGGCCCUAGGGUCGUAAACUCCUGUCAUCAGGGAGUAAGCCUUGGUCGUUAAUAGCUUCCAAGGUUGAUAGUACCUGAAGAGGAAGGGACGGCUAACUUCGUGCCAGCAGCCGCGGUAAUACGAAGGUCCCAAGCGUUGUUCGGAAUCACUGGGCGUAAAGAGUAUGUAGGCGGUCUGGAAAGUCAGGUGUGAAAUCCCGGGGCUCAACCCCGGAACUGCACCCGAUACUCCCAGACUAGAGUAAUGGAGGGGUGACUGGAAUUCUCGGUGUAGCAGUGAAAUGCGUAGAUAUCGAGAGGAACACUCGUGGCGAAGGCGAGUCACUGGACAUUUACUGACGCUGAGAUACGAAGGCCAGGGUAGCGAAAGGGAUUAGAUACCCUAGUAGUCC